rnacentral:rRNA from 1 species
UCAGGAUGAACGCUGGCGGUCUGCUUAACACAUGCAAGUCGAACGGGAGUAGCAAUACUCCAGUGGCGGACGGGUGAGUAACGCGUGAGAAUCUGCCUUCAGGUUGGGGACAACCACUGGAAACGGUGGCUAAUACCCAAUGUGCCGCAACGUGAAAGAUUAAUCGCCUGAAGAUGAGCUCGCGUCUGAUUAGCUAGUUGGUAGGGUAAAAGCCUACCAAGGCAUCGAUCAGUAGCUGGUCUGAGAGGAUGACCAGCCACACUGGGACUGAGACACGGCCCAGACUCCUACGGGAGGCAGCAGUGGGGAAUUUUCCGCAAUGGGCGAAAGCCUGACGGAGCAAGACCGCGUGAGGGAGGAAGGCCCUUGGGUUGUAAACCUCUUUUGUCAGGGAAGAAGAAAGUGACGGUACCUGACGAAUCAGCCUCGGCUAACUCCGUGCCAGCAGCCGCGGUAAUACGGAGGAGGCAAGCGUUAUCCGGAAUUAUUGGGCGUAAAGCGUCCGCAGGUGGUUUUGCAAGUCUGCUGUCAAAGCACAGGGCUUAACCCUGUUAAGGCAGUGGAAACUACAAGACUGGAGUGCAGUAGGGGCAGAGGGAAUUC